rnacentral:rRNA from 1 species
GACGAACGCUGGCGGCGUGCUUAACACAUGCAAGUCGAACGAUGAAGCCUAGCUUGCUAGGUGGAUUAGUGGCGAACGGGUGAGUAAUACGUGAGUGACCUACCUUUGACUCUGGGAUAAGCCUGGGAAACUGGGUCUAAUACCGGAUACGACCAAUCUCUGCAUGGGGUGUUGGUGGAAAGCGUUAUGGAGUGGUUUUAGAUGGGCUCACGGCCUAUCAGCUUGUUGGUGAGGUAAUGGCUUACCAAGGCGACGACGGGUAGCCGGCCUGAGAGGGUGACCGGCCACACUGGGACUGAGACACGGCCCAGACUCCUACAGGAGGCAGCAGUGGGGAAUAUUGCACAAUGGGCGCAAGCCUGAUGCAGCGACGCCGCGUGAGGGAUGACGGCCUUCGGGUUGUAAACCUCUGUUAGCAUCGAAGAAGCGAAAGUGACG